AUUGAACGCUGGCGGCAUGCCUAACACAUGCAAGUCGAACGGGGCAGCAAUGCCUAGUGGCGGACGGGUGAGGAAUACGUAGGAAUCCGCCCUUAAGUGGGGGAUAACCAGGGGAAACCCUGACUAAUACCGCAUGAUCUCUUCGGAGCAAAGAGGGGGACCGCAAGGCCUCUCGCUUCUGGAUGCGCCUACGUCUGAUUAGCUAGUUGGUAGGGUAAAGGCCUACCAAGGCGACGAUCAGUAACUGGUCGGAGAGGAUGAUCAGUCACACCGGAACUGAGAGACGGUCCGGACUCCUACGGGAGGCAGCAGUGGUGAAUAUUGGACAAUGGGCGCGAGCCUGAGCCAGCAAUGCCGCGUGUGUGAAGAAGGCCUUCGGGUUGUAAAGCACUUGAGCCUGGAAAGAAAAAACUUUGGUUAACACCCAAAGUCUUGACGGUACCAGGAGAAUAAGCACCGGCUAACUCUGUGCCAGCCGCCGCGGUAACAC
rnacentral:rRNA from 1 species